AUGAGAGGGUUGUUAGGAAAGGAGCAAGCCCGGCCCCUCCCUCUCUCUUGCUCUGCAUGCUGUCUUUCUCCUGCACUUGCUCGGCCAGUGGCCAUGGGGCUGCACCACCCGGAGCCUGCGCUGUACCACCUGGACUUUCAGUCUCCAAACCUGGGAGCUAAAGGAACCUCCUUCUCUCCCUAAGCUGCGAAGCACUCUUGGGGACAAGCACACAGGGUUCCGCCACCUCCUGGGUCCUCCAACACCACGGUCCACAUGGUGCCUCCGUCUCCCCGGCUGCAUGGAGCACCUACAAAAGGGGUGCGCGGCAGGCCUUGGUUCUGUGCCUUCAGAUCAUCCCAGGGCACGGGUUACGUCUGCCCUCGGAAGAAGAAUAACCGGGAGUCCUGUCUCGCUUUGCUUUUCGGAGCCGAACGCAGCCCUGUUUUCCUCCACCAUCUUUGUAGAAAGUUCUUAACAUUCAAACCAGAUCCUGUUUAACCUUUUGCCCAACACAGCUUUACCUACUUCAAACCCCUUUGGCUCUCUGAGGCCUGGCUUCCUUCAGGCUCAGGCUGUAAAUGUUUGACUUUGAUUUGAGAUACAUGACAAUAAAUUAGGGGACAUUUAUCAAAGCUGCUUUUUGCAUAAAUUACUGCAUUAUACAAAUACACUUAGCAGGAUCCUGCUUCUUUGAUGUUGGGAGCAAAGA